GCUGUUUUUCACUAUUCUUCCUGAACCGUUGGCCAUUGUUUUCUAAGUUUCUGAACGGUGACCAUGAAACUGGCCGAAAUCCGCUGCUACCUGGAGAAAGAAAAGGACAGUACCUGGAGGGACACAGAAGGAGGGCCCUCCAAUCUCACUCAAAGGGAUGCUCCACGUCUGCCAGAAUCUUCUCCUUUCACCAAAAAAGGUGAUAAGAAAGGCCUGGAGAAGGCAACGGCCAGGAAGCCUGAAGGCACAUGUGUGGAAGCGGACUCUCCACAACAAGGAGGCAAGGUGAAUGUCGUCUCUUUGAACAUUGAGCAAAGGUAUCAGGAGUGAGGACGACUAGGAAAGAAGACUGGAGAGGAUGAUAAAGUCUCUUCCUAGAAGCAGAAAUGGCCUGUCAUUGCAUGGAAGUGAGACGGCUUAGCAAUAAGGAAAGGCCACCACCCACAAUUGUCACUUGUCUGCUUGUUGCUUCUUUCAUCUCACAACGUUCCACACAAGCAAUAGCCAAACAUGCAAAAUUGAGCCAAAUAACACACUAGAAUCAGGAAUGUUUCUCUCAUGUAUUCCUAGGGCAACAGCACAUCACACUUUGAGCAGAACGUUCUCAGUCAUGCUUGUUGUCUCCAUAUAAUUACUGAUGCUGCCUUCCUUCACG